UACGAACCGUCCAAACGUUACUCGGAAUCACUGGGCUUAAAGGGUGCGUAGGCCGCGCGGAGGGUGGGAUGUGAAAUCCCCCGGCUCAACCGGGGAAUAGCGUCCCAAACCGCCGUGCUCGAGGGAGACAGAGGUGAGCGGAACUGAUGGUGGAGCGGUGAAAUGCGCUGAUAUCAUCAGGAACACCAGUGGCGAAGGCGGCUCACUGGGUCUUUCCUAACGCUGAUGCACGAAAGCUAGGGGAGCGAACGGG
rnacentral:rRNA from 1 species